rnacentral:rRNA from 1 species
AGGAUUCCCCUAGUAACGGCGAGUGAAGAGGGAAAAGCCCAGCACCGAAGCCUGCGCAGGUUUGCUGUUAGGCAAUGUGGUGUUUGGGUCGGCUCGUGGGACCACCACUCCACUCGAAGUCCAGCAUUGAGUAUGGUUACUGGAUUUGGCCCAGAGAGGGUGAAAGGCCCGUACGGUGGAGUAUCAGACAUGUGAGGUGGUUCACCAGGUCGACCUUAGAGUCGGGUUGUUUGGGAAUGCAGCCCAAAGUGGGUGGUAAACUCCAUCCAAGGCUAAAUACAAGCACGAGUCCGAUAGCGAACAAGUACCGUGAGGGAAAGUUGAAAAGUACUCUGAAGAGAGAGUAAACAGUACGUGAAACCGCAUGCAGGUAAACGGGUGGCGUCAAGCUGCAAGCCCGGAGAAUUCAGUCGGCUAGGUUGUUGUGUAUGCGCCUGGCGCAUCCAUCAGUCAGAGUAUGAUUGGGUAGUCCACUAGUAAACAGUGGGCCUGUCCGCAAGGGCAGGAUAUGUGUACCGGGUGGGUGCCGGAGCAUGCUAUCCGUCUAUGGACUGUCUAGCCGGUGCACUUUCUCCGUGGUCAACACCACGACCGGUGGUAUUGCCAGUCUGCUGUGUCCAAGUCGUAUUUGGUAGGUCCUUGUGGCCAACUGAGUGCGAUCACAGGCAAACUCAGUAAACGGCGUGAGGGUGUUUCGGCACUUUCAUGUGUUAUCGGCUACUGGUUGUCAACGGGCCUGCUCUGUGUUUGUUGUGAUCGACAUGGGGUGGUUCGGUGGGACAUGGUGGUAAGAAAAACUGUGCAAGGCACCGGGGUUAUCGGCCUCAAAUGCGUCCUACGUCCACGUUACAAGUGUAGGUGCUGUGUCGCCGCUGCCUGCUCGGUGCUGGGUGUGAUUGGCGUGUUGCCUGCGCAAAGUAGGCCCGCCAAUGGCUCGGUUCGAGGUGGGUAGUUGGUGGCGUUGUCGACGGCGUGGGGCGUGGUGGGCCUAAUAGUCAGUGGUGUAGU